UAAGGUUUAAAAAUUAUUUGACCAAUGACUGUUCUCCUCAUUUACCCGGGCUUUGAAAUUAAAAUAAAUUUUAAUACAAAACUAAAACCCUAUUGAAUAAAAUUGUUUAGUAUGUAGUGCAUAUAAAUUAUAUAUUUUAAAUAAAAAUAUAAUAAUAUAGUUUUUCGAGAAUAAGUUAAACAUAACCAAGAACAUAAAACACAUAUAUAACAAUGUUUUUAUUUAACGUUGCUAAGCAACUGCUUUAUACGAUGCACACGAAUGCAUGUACAUUAACCUUGAAUAAAAUCAAUUACAGUAUUUUUAUUUUAACUUAAUAUAAAUCAAACUAUUUAUCGUUAGAUUUUAUAGAGAAAGAUGUAUAGAAUAAUGAUUUAUAUUAGUAUAGUAAUAAUACACCAUUUAUGAUUCAUUUAAAUAUCAAAAACCAAAAAUAUAUAAAACUAUUGUAUGAUUAAUUAAAAUAUCAAUUUACAAAGGAACAUAAGACGAGAAAAAGGAUACGAAGAAACUUUUUUAAAAGUUGUAUUCAAGUGUGAAUUUAUUUCAUUAAU
rnacentral:lncRNA from 1 species